CCUACGGGUGGCAGCAGUCGAGAAUCAUUCACAAUGGGGGAAACCCUGAUGGUGCGACGCCGCGUGGGGGAAUGAAGGUCUUCGGAUUGUAAACUCCUGUCAUGUGGGAGCAAAUUAAAAAGAUAGUACCACAAGAGGAAGAGACGGCUAACUCUGUGCCAGCAGCCGCGGUAAUACAGAGGUCUCAAGCGUUGUUCGGAAUCACUGGGCGUAAAGCGUGCGUAGGCUGUUUCGUAAGUCGUGUGUGAAAGGCGCGGGCUCAACCCGCGGACGGCACAUGAUACUGCGGGACUAGAGUGAUGGAGAGGGAAGCGGAAUUCUCGGUGUAGCAGUGGAAUGCGUAGAUAUCGAGAAGAACACUCGUGGCGAAGGCGGGUUCCUGGACAUUAACUGACGCUGAGGCACGAAGGCCAGGGGAGCGAAAGGGAUUAGAUACCCGGGUAGUC
rnacentral:rRNA from 1 species